rnacentral:ncRNA from 1 species
UUCUUCGGGGCAGGGUGCAAUUCCCUACCGGCGGUUAUAGUCCGCGAGCCGUAUAAAACGGUUGAAUUGGUGCAAUUCCAAUACCGACAGUAUAGUCUGGAUGAGAGAAGAA